CUACGGGUUGCAGCAGUGGGGAAUAUUGCACAAUGGGCGCAAGCCUGAUGCAGCAACGCCGCGUGAACGAUGAAGGCCUUCGGGUUGUAAAGUUCUUUUCUUAGGGAAGAAUAAAUGACGGUACCUAAGGAAUCAGCCCCGGCUAACUACGUGCCAGCAGCCGCGGUAAUACGUAGGGGGCAAGCGUUAUCCGGAAUCACUGGGCGUAAAGGGAGUGUAGGCGGUCAAGCAAGUCAGGGGUGAAAGGCAUCGGCUCAACCGAUGUAAGCCUUUGAAACUGUUUGACUUGAGUGCAGGAGAGGUAAGUGGAAUUCCUAGUGUAGCGGUGAAAUGCGUAGAUAUUAGGAGGAACACCAGUGGCGAAGGCGACUUACUGGACUGUAACUGACGCUGAGGCUCGAAAGCGUGGGGAGCGAACAGGAUUAGAUACCCGUGUAGUC
rnacentral:rRNA from 1 species